GACGUAGGUGGCAAGCGUUGUUCGGAAUCACUGGGCAUAAAGCGCGCGUAGGCGGCUUUCUAAGUCGGGUGUGAAAUCCCUCGGCUCAACCGAGGAACUGCGCCUGAUACUGGAAGGCUUGAGGGCCGGAGGGGAGAGUGGAAUUCCCGGUGGAGCGGUGAAAUGCGUAGAGAUCGGGAAGAACGCCGGCGGCGAAAGCGACUCUCUGGUCGGUACCUGACGCUGAGGCGCGAAAGCUAGGGGAGCAAACGGG
rnacentral:rRNA from 1 species